rnacentral:rRNA from 1 species
AUUGAACGCUGGCGGCAGGCCUAACACAUGCAAGUCGAGCGGAUGAGUGGAGCUUGCUCCAUGAUUCAGCGGCGGACGGGUGAGUAAUGCCUAGGAAUCUGCCUGGUAGUGGGGGACAACGUUUCGAAAGGAACGCUAAUACCGCAUACGUCCUACGGGAGAAAGCAGGGGACCUUCGGGCCUUGCGCUAUCAGAUGAGCCUAGGUCGGAUUAGCUAGUUGGUGAGGUAAUGGCUCACCAAGGCGACGAUCCGUAACUGGUCUGAGAGGAUGAUCAGUCACACUGGAACUGAGACACGGUCCAGACUCCUACGGGAGGCAGCAGUGGGGAAUAUUGGACAAUGGGCGAAAGCCUGAUCCGGCCAUGCCGCGUGUGUGAAGAAGGUCUUCGGAUUGUAAAGCACUUUAAGUUGGGAGGAAGGGCAGUAAGUUAAUACCUUGCUGUUUUGACGUUACCGACAGAAUAAGCACCGGCUAACUUCGUGCC